rnacentral:lncRNA from 1 species
UGGCUUGAGCUUCUGGAACCACUCCAGCUGCACGCUCAGGGAGAUGUUCAACGGGGGCACGUUGGUGAUGUUGUUCUUGAGGAAGAAGGCGAGAUCAAGAGCGCUGGCACCGACGACGGCGAAGUUAGCGCCAUGGGUGAAGUUCUGACGACCUUGGCCAAGAAACGGUGGUACGAACGGCACAUGAAACUCGUCAGCUGCAAACUCGUCGUCCGCCUGCACCGCAGCGGGUUCCUUCCCAAGAACCUCCUCUCCAGCUGCUCUCUCACCGUGGUCUCCCUCGACUCAUGCGCGUUGCCUCACCGUGAUCACACCGCCGUGUUGCCGGAUUGGGGAAGAAAAGGAGGCGGGGAGAUUGGGGAGGAGGAGAAGGAGAAGUGGGUCCCGGCCGUGCUGCUCGGCCACGUGCAGCCGUCGAGGGCGGUGGGGAGACCGGCGGCGAGAGACAGGGAGGUAGGAGGCGGGGUUGGCGAGGAGGACCGGGAGGCCGGCGAGCUGAUAAAAGAGGAUGUCGAGGUCAAUGGGAAAGGUUUGAGCUUGUGGAACCACUCCAGCUGCACGCUGAGGGAGGUGUUGAAUGGUGGGACGCUGGUGAUGUUGUUGUGGAGGAAGAAGGCUAGAUCGAGGGCGCUGGCGCCGACGACGGCGAAGUUGGCGCCAUGGGUGAAGUCCUCACCUUGGCCAAGAGAUGGUGGGACGAAUGGGACCUGA